AUUGAACGCUGGCGGUAUGCUUAAGACAUGCAAGUCGAACGGUAACAGGUUAAGCUGACGAGUGGCGGACGAGUGAGUAACGCGUGGGAAUCUACCUUGUAGUGGGGGAUAACGUAUGGAAACGUACGCUAAUACCGCAUGCGCCCUACGGGGGAAAGUCGGGGACCGCAAGGCCUGACGCGAUUGGAUGAGCCCAUGUUCGAUUAGCUAGUUGGCGGGGUAAAGGCCCACCAAGGCGACGAUCGAUAGCUGGUCUGAGAGGAUGAUCAGCCACACUGGAACUGAGACACGGUCCAGACUCCUACGGGAGGCAGCAGUAGGGAAUAUUGGACAAUGGGCGCAAGCCUGAUCCAGCCAUGCCGCGUGAGUGAAGAAGGCCCUGGGUUGUAAAGCUCUUUUGUCCGGAAGAAAGCACUGGGUUAAUACCCCGGUGUCCUGACGGUACCGGAAGAAUAAGCACCGGCUAACUUCGUGCCAGCAG
rnacentral:rRNA from 1 species